GCAAAAUAUGGAUUUCCUGAGCUGAAGUCACUGGCAUGUUCCCAAGGCCCAUGAGACCCUGAUGAACCUGACUUGUGAGCAAGGGCAACAGCUUCCUCCUCCAAGAGCUGGAUGCAACAGCUGCAGCCUGGUGAUGGGAAAAGAACAAGGGAAGGAGUCUGGAGGCCCAGAUUCAAGUCAUCACACAGCCCAUCACUAGCUGCAUGGCGCCUGGCAAGACAGUGAGUCUCUCUGGUUCUGUUUCCUUACCUGCAAAAUGG
rnacentral:lncRNA from 1 species